GACACCGUGGCGUAGUUGGUCAACCCGUCGGCGUACAUAGCCGAAAAUCGCUGGUUCGAAUCCAGGCUAGUAACC
rnacentral:tRNA from 1 species